CAGUUGGUUAGAGCGCCGCCCUGUCACGGCGGAGGUCACCGGUUCAAGUCCGGCCGGGGUC
rnacentral:tRNA from 1 species